rnacentral:rRNA from 1 species
GACGAACGCUGGCGGCGUGCCUAAUACAUGCAAGUUGAGCGCUGAAGGUUGGUACUUGUACCAACUGGAUGAGCAGCGAACGGGUGAGUAACGCGUGGGGAAUCUGCCUUUGAGCGGGGGACAACAUUUGGAAACGAAUGCUAAUACCGCAUAAAAACUUUAAACACAAGUUUUAAGUUUGAAAGAUGCAAUUGCAUCACUCAAAGAUGAUCCCGCGUUGUAUUAGCUAGUUGGUGAGGUAAAGGCUCACCAAGGCGAUGAUACAUAGCCGACCUGAGAGGGUGAUCGGCCAAAUUGGGACGGAGACACGGCCCAAACUCCUACGGGAGGCAGCAGGAGGGAAUCUUCGGCGAUGGAAGAAAGUCUGACCGAGCAACGCCGCGGGAGUGAAGAAGGUUGUCGGAUCGUGAAACUCUGUUGGUAGAGAAGAACGUUGGUGAGAGUGGAAAGCUCAUCAAGUGACGGUAACUACCCAGAAAGGGACGGCUAACUACGUG